AUUGAUCUUGGGUGCAGCAUCUCAUCUGUUGAAUAAAUUUUUUUAUUUAUUUCUAAGGGUUUACCUUCGUGUGCCCGUAUGGGGGAUGGUGCAAUGAUCAGCGGUACAUUU